UACGAAGGGGGCUAGCGUUGCUCGGAAUCACUGGGCGUAAAGGGUGCGUAGGCGGGGCUUUAAGGCAGGGGGGAAAUCCUGGAGCUCAACUCCAGAACUGCCUUUGAUACUGAGGAUCUUGAGUUCGGGAGAGGUGAGUGGAACUGCGAGUGUAGAGGUGAAAUUCGUAGAUAUUCGCAAGAACACCAGUGGCGAAGGCGGCUCACUGGCCCGAUACUGACGCUGAGGCACGAAAGCGUGGGAAGCAAACAGG
rnacentral:rRNA from 1 species